UUCUGUUGGCACUUCUAACAGAUUCUGUGUUAGAUUUAGUUUUAGAUAUUGAUAGCUUAGCUUUCUUUUUCUUUUUUCCCAGAAUGCAGAUUUAAAUUGUGGCAUAAUUUACAUACAAUAAAAUGCCCCUGUGGCAAAUGUACAGGUCAAUGACUUGAGACAAAUGUGUGCACAUGUAACCAUCACUGCAAAACAUCUAUCAAUAUACAGAACAUUUUUACCACCCCAGAAAUUUCCCUUGUGCUCCUUGGCAGUCAAUCCCCAAGCCCUGGGCAAUUGUUAAAUUAUUUGUUGUAACAGAAUAGAAUAAUUUUGCCUUUUUUUAGAAAAAGAACUUCAUACAAAUGGAAUCAUAAAGCAUUAAUUUUUGGUGUCAGGUUCCUUUUAUUCAGCAUAAUAUUUUGAGAUUCAUUUGUUGCAGAUUUUAGUAAUUUACAUAUAUCUAAAAAACAGAGCCAGUGACCCGGUGCUCCCCUUCCUGCCUUCAACUGUGCUUCCUUCUAAGAAGGUAGUAAGUGGCUGUUCUUAAUCAUUUCCUGGCAGCUUCCUUGUAAUUAUAACAGGGAAAGCCCACAGCCCAUGCCUCCUUGUCCAGUGGGGAUUUGUGGCCAGCUUGGUCUUUUGGAACUGCUGGACUUCCUUGAGAGGUCCCCAGCCUCCUGCAUGGGGCUCCAGGGCCAUGGCUGGCCUGAGUAGCUGUGUCCAGAUGGACCUUUAUGGGCUUACUUUGCCUUUCAGGACAACCUGAAGAAGACAGCAUCAUCAGAACGAGGGGACUUCUACAUCACAGGGGAUCGAGCCCAUGUGGACGAGGAUGGCUACUUUUGGUUCCUGGGAAGAAACGACGGUGUGAUCAAUUCUUCAAGCUACCGGAUCGGGUCCAUUGAAGUGGAAAGUGCCCUUGCUGAGCACCCAGCUGUCCGGGGAUCUUCUGCGGUCAGCAGCCCAGACCCCACCAGAGGGGAGGUGGUAGAGGCAUUUAUAGGCCUUUCUCCAGCCUACUCGUCUCAUGAUCCAGAGAAACAAACCCAGAAACUCCAGGAGCAUGUGAAAAGGGUGACAGCUCCAUACAAGUACCCUGGGAAGUCACAAGGUGACCUUUGUUUCAGAACUGCCAAAGACAGUUUCUGGAAAGAUCCAGAGGAGUAACGUGAGAAGCCAAGAGUGGGGGAGAUGAGGGGCAGCCCUGGAAAGGCCCCUUGCCGCCUCAAAGCUUCUAAGAAGAGCUUGUGGGAUCGCUGGUUAGUCCUCACUUGGAGCAUCAUCUUUUCAGCCCUAUAGACAUCAAAGGCUUUCAGCUUCAAAAUGAGCAUCUCCAGAAUCAUUGUAUGGCCCUAGAAGAGGGCAGAAGAACCUCCCAGAGGUUCAGAGCCACUGCCAGCCCAGCAAACGUUUGGCAGCUUACUCCCCCUCUGUCUGCAGGCAUCCUUAGCAGCUGCCCACUGGUCUUACUUGCUAAGAGUGUCCAGCUGGCCCUCCGAAGGACAGGUGACCACAGUGUCGGGGCACCUGUGAUCCUGUGCACUGCCAGGGUGAAUGUGACCACUUGACCCUUUCGGUAAAGCCAUUUGGUAAUCAUAUCCAGUGCCAUGAAAAACUGGUCAAACCCUGUAGCUCAGCGAUCCCGUAUUUGGGAAUCACUACAAAAGAUUAAAAAGAUGUUUACCAUAAUAUUGUUUAAAACCACAAAAAAAGAGAAGAGGAAAGAAAAUUGAUGUCCAAGCAAUAGAGCAAUGAUUAAAUUGUAGUAGAUUAACUCAAUAACACAUUUUGCGGCCAUUAAAAACAUGCCUUGGGGAAAACUUGAGCAAAAUUAAUUUUAAAUCACAAUUAAAGAUAGUAUUUAUAUAGUGGGAAAGCCUCAGCUUUGAAAGGUUAAAGAAAAACUAUAAAUGGAAAAGCAGUUGGAAGGAAAUUCGUUAAAAUGUUAGUAACACUUUUUCUGGGUAUUGAAAACAAUGGAAGACAGUUUUCUUCUUUCCUCUACAUUUAUACAUCAUCCCCAAAUGCUAGUGUAUUACCUGUACCCAGGAAGGCACAAGGACCCUGUAGCCACAUCCCAGGCCCAGAAAUGGAAAGGGUGGCUCUGGGCAGCUGAGACCAGCCAAGCGGAGAAGCCGAUGGAAACUCAGACCUGACCCCAGCACCUCCAUUCACCCACAAGUCAGUGUUUCCCGAGCACCAGCCCAGUGGCGGGCUCUGGGAAUGCAAGGAUAAGCAGAGCCCAGGCAGUCCCCACCUGCUCAGGUUGCCCUAAGAGUACUACAGCCUGGAUGGCUUUCACAGCCGACUGAUUUCCUUGGUGUUGGCGGCAGGAAGUUCAAGAUCAAGGUGUUGGCCAGGCUGGUUUCAUUCUGAGGGUUCUCUCCUUGAUUUGUAGAUGGCUGCUUCUCCUGUGUCUACAUGUGACCUUUUCUCUGUGUGUGUCUGCGUUCUAAUUUCCUCUUCUUAUAAGAACACCAUUCAGACUGUGUAAUAGUGUGAAGAUGAGAUUAUAUUCAGUUUAGGGCCCACGCCAAUGGCCUCGUUUUAAUUUAAUCACCUCUUUAAAAGCCCCAUCUCUGAAUACAGGUGCAUUCUGAGCACCUGGGGAUUAGCAUAUGAAUUUGGGGGGAACACAAUUUGGCUGGUGACACUACCCUUGCGCGGAGUUUACAGUGAGUGCGGAGGCCACUGUUAUUCAUCAGAGAAUAAUCCAAAUAAUGCACAACUGUACUAAGUUCCCUGAAGGGCCUAGUGCAGUUAAAACAGAGGCUGGGGGACUCAGGGUAUCCAGGGAAUCUUCCAUGAAGAGGUCCCUGGCGAGCUGGGAUUGAAGGAAAGUGGAAGUUACAUAAAGAGAUUGGGGCUGAGCUUUCUGAACAAAGACUACAGUUUGUGCCAAGGCCUUGAGGUGGGAAAGACAGGUGUGUGUUCCUUAAAACAGUUCUGCUCAACACCAGCUCUGUCGGCAUAGUUCCAAAUGUUUGAACUCUCAACCAUCCUGUUGGAUGGGUACUGAUAAUACCCUCUUUUUACAGCUAGAACAGAGAAGUUAAGCAAUUUGCUGAAGUCCACAUAGCUGGUAUCUCACAGAGAGGAUUCAAACCCAGCUGGUCCAGCACCUGUGUCCACACUUUAUAAUGGAUUGAUGGCCUGGUUUAGGAAUUUGUUUUUCUCCUAUAAGUGCUAGGGAGACAUUGAAGGUUUGUGGCAAAGAAAUUAUCUUCUUAAAGUUUCAUUAGCCCUUAAAAAGAAAAAAACUUGUCCA